GCGUUAAAACACCGGUUCUCUUAUGAUCACAUGAGUUAAGCAACGUCGAGCCUGGUUAGUAACUUGCUGCGUGACGGCUUGGAAAGUAAAGGUGCUGUAA